GUGCCAGCCGCUGCGGUAAUACGUAGGGUACGAGCGUUGUCCGGAAUUAUUGGGCGUAAAGAGCUCGUAGGUGGUUGGUCACGUCUGCUGUGGAAACGCAACGCUUAACGUUGCGCGUGCAGUGGGUACGGGCUGACUAGAGUGCAGUAGGGGAGUCUGGAAUUCCUGGUGUAGCGGUGAAAUGCGCAGAUAUCAGGAGGAACACCGGUGGCGAAGGCGGGACUCUGGGCUGUAACUGACACUGAGGAGCGAAAGCAUGGGAGCGAACAGGAUUAGAUACCCUGGUAGUCCAUGCCGUAAACGUUGGGCACUAGGUGGUGGGGACAUUCCACGUUCUCCGCGCCGUAGCU
rnacentral:rRNA from 1 species